rnacentral:rRNA from 1 species
GCCCUACGGGGGGCAGCAGUGAGGAAUAUUGGUCAAUGGACGCAAAUCUGAACCAGCCAUGCCGCGUGCAGGAUGACGGCUCUAUGAGUUGUAAACUGCUUUUGUACGAGGGUAAUAUCGGAUACGUGUAUCCGCUUGAAAGUAUCAUACGAAUAAGGAUCGGCUAACUCCGUGCCAGCAGCCGCGGUAAUACGGAGGAUCCGAGCGUUAUCCGGAUUUAUUGGGUUUAAAGGGUGCGUAGGCGGUUUGAUAAGUUAGAGGUGAAAUGUCGGGGCUCAACCCCGAAACUGCCUCUAAUACUGUUG